AAGCAUAUCAAUAAGCGGAGGAAAAGAAACCAACAGGGAUUGCCCUAGUAACGGCGAGUGAAGCGGCAACAGCUCAAAUUUGAAAUCUGGCUUCGGCCCGAGUUGUAAUUUGCAGAGGAAGCUUUAGGCGCGGCACCUUCUGAGUCCCCUGGAACGGGGCGCCAUAGAGGGUGAGAGCCCCGUAUAGUUGGAUGCCUAGCCUGUGUAAAGCUCCUUCGACGAGUCGAGUAGUUUGGGAAUGCUGCUCAAAAUGGGAGGUAAAUUUCUUCUAAAGCUAAAUACCGGCCAGAGACCGAUAGCGCACAAGUAGAGUGAUCGAAAGAUGAAAAGCACUUUGAAAAGAGGGUUAAAUAGCACGUGAAAUUGUUGAAAGGGAAGCGCUUGUGACCAGACUUGCGCCGGGCAGAUCAUCCGGUGUUCUCACCGGUGCACUCUGCCCGGCUCAGGCCAGCAUCGGUUCUCGCGGGGGGAUAAAGGCCCUGGGAACGUAGCUCCUCCGGGAGUGUUAUAGCCCGGGGCGUAAUGCCCUCGCGGGGACCGAGGUUCGCGCAUCUGCAAGGAUGCUGGCGUAAUGGUCAUCAGCGACCCGUCUUGAAACACGGACCAAGGAGUCAAGGUUUUGCGCGAGUGUUUGGGUGUAAAACCCGCACGCGUAAUGAAAGUGAACGUAGGUGAGAGCUUCGGCGCAUCAUCGACCGAUCCUGAUGUUUUCGGAUGGAUUUGAGUAGGAGCGUUAAGCCUUGGACCCGAAAGAUGGUGAACUAUGCUUGGAUAGGGUGAAGCCAGAGGAAACUCUGGUGGAGGCUCGCAGCGGUUCUGACGUGCAAAUCGAUCGUCAAAUCUGAGCAUGGGGGCGAAAGACUAAUCGAACCAUCUAGUAGCUGGUUACCGCCGAAGUU
rnacentral:rRNA from 1 species